rnacentral:rRNA from 1 species
AUUACUGGGCGUAAGCGCACUGCUAGCGGUUGUUAAGUCAGAUGUGAAAUCCCCGGGCUCAACCUGGGAACUGCAUUUGAAACUGGCAAGCUAGAGUCUCGUAGAGGGGGGUAGAAUUCCAGGUGUAGCGGUGAAAUGCGUAGAGAUCUGGAGGAAUACCGGUGGCGAAGGCGGCCCCCUGGACGAAGACUGACGCUCAGGUGCGAAAGCGUGGGGAGCAAACAGGAUUAGA